rnacentral:rRNA from 1 species
GACGAACGCUGGCGGCGUGCCUAAUACAUGCAAGUAGAACGCUGAAGGAGGAGCUUGCUCUUCUGGAUGAGUUGCGAACGGGUGAGUAACGCGUAGGUAACCUGCCUGGUAGCGGGGGAUAACUAUUGGAAACGAUAGCUAAUACCGCAUAACAGUAGAUGUUGCAUGACAUUUGCUUAAAAGGUGCAAUUGCACCACUACCAGAUGGACCUGCGUUGUAUUAGCUAGUUGGUGGGGUAACGGCUCACCAAGGCGACGAUACAUAGCCGACCUGAGAGGGUGAUCGGCCACACUGGGACUGAGACACGGCCCAGACUCCUACGGGAGGCAGCAGUAGGGAAUCUUCGGCAAUGGACGGAAGUCUGACCGAGCAACGCCGCGUGAGUGAAGAAGGUUUUCGGAUCGUAAAGCUCUGUUGUAAGAGAAGAACGAGUGUGAGAGUGGAAAGUUCACACUGUGACGGCAUCUUACCAGAAAGAGACGGCUAACUACGUG